GCUGGAUAGCUCAGUUGGUAGAGCAUGAGACUUUUAAUUUCAGGGGUCAUGGGUUCAAUCCUCAUGUUGGGCA
rnacentral:tRNA from 1 species